AUCGUAAUCGAUUAAUCGAAGUAUCUUACGGAUUUUUUUAGGUUAUGUGUACGAAAUAUGGACCUCGAUCAGACAGCUGCUAUUUUGAUAUUUGUUUUGGAAUCUAUUAUAUUUUUACGUUGAAAUGAAGAUAGUGGAGGACAAAAUAAGCUUUGUUAAGGAAAAUAGACGCAGAGAAAACAGUAUCUGCUUGGUUUCUUGAACCGUGAGUGCAAAGGACACGAAGAUCGACGUAUUCUGGCAAAGACGAAAACACAAUCGCGGCAAACCUCCACGUCGGGGGUCGUCUCGUGCCCAACGACCGAACACGCCGCCCGGGCAGCACGUGUGUAACCGCGUUUUUGCGCAUGCGCGUCUUGUAACUGCACAUCUCCCAGGAGGAGCAGAGAUAUCCGCGCGAAUGACCCGACAAAAACUGCUUUUUUCGACUCGCCAAGAGAAAGAGAGGUUAGAGGUGCAGAUGGACAUUUCGCCACGCGUGCUGCCGAGCGAUCAUGGAACACGAGGGGCGUUUUCGAGAGGAAAAAAGAAAACCAGUCGUAAAUGAGUGCAUACAAUGUUUUCGAAGCAGAGGAUUCGCGUCUCGCGGUCAGAGGAAUCGCGAAAGGGACCGUUUUUCUUCGACGACAAUAUCCAGUGUAAACAGAGCCGAUAUGUCAAUAUUUCUCCGUUCCUAACCCUCGUCGUUCGGACCCGUAAGAGUUCUUGACCACUGUGGACAAUGGCCUACGGAUAUGUGCACAGACACACGGACACACGGCUGUCGUUGCGAGUGUACACACACGGCGAGCAGACAAGCGAACCUUCCCACGAGACAUUGUAUAGCCAAGCAAAACUAUACAUAUAUCGUGUCUCGCGUGAACGAGAGGAGCGCACUAACCUUACUAUCGAGCCAGCGGAUCGUUUUACGAUCUCACUGGGCCCUCGUACAUCCAUUACACCCCCGUUUCGAUCGUCGAAUUUCCUACUACAAAGGACACUGACCUUCUUUUUUGACACGGUAAGAAAAGAGCCUGGUAAAAAAAUUACAUUCUGUACAUUAACCACGAAAACGUGAGAGCAGGCUCUGGUGACAACCCGUUGGACGAGAAAAAUGUACGGAGAAUAUUCUCACAAUGUCUUCCCUCGGUUAAAUGACAAGUGGCAAGCUUCCUUGGAAUCCUAGGUUCUGGGAUUACUUUUCUACGUAAGAUAACCUCUCUUUACUCUUAUCUGAAGGCUGCAUUCGUACACAGUCGAGCAACACGGUCCUCGAUGAGGAAUUCUCAUUUUUGGCGCGCUGGAGCGCUAUUCUCGGAACGAGAAUGGCCGCCGUCGACUAUUUACGGAUACAACCGGCGUUAUUUCGUCACAAAACAAUUUUACAAAGCCACCCUUCGGACUUUUAUCAUCGCAUGUGUUUUAUUUUUCAGGUGACUAUCAGAGACUUAUUUACAAUAAACAAGCGUGAGUUCCUUUCGAUGUAUCUACUCGACGCAUUCUUUAUCGUUAUUGUAAUCGAUGUGUACAUCUCUACAAGGUCUGUUCUUUUCAAUGACGUUAAUUAAGAAAUCUGUUUGAGUAUAUACUAAUUGUACGUGUAAUAUUAUUCAGUGUCAAGCAACUGUGAAUGAACCUAAGGGUGUCCGUUGAAGGUCGAAAAGAAGUUACGAAGGGAGGUUAUGUCGGUGUAACGAACGAGUCGAACGAAAGCAGACGGAGCUAGACACUUCUAAAAGAGUGGAUCCAGAUUUAGAGUUGUGUUGUGCGCGGCGAAUACUGUUGCCACUGCUUUUCUCCUCUUUCGUCGGAUGGUUCGAGUCUGGCCGAUGAGACGCGAGAAGGACGGAAACGAAACAAGGAUUCGACGAGUAACAGUAGGAGGGAGAAGGAAAGGGGAAAAAAACAUCUCUCCCAGGAAGAAUACUCUCGGGACCCGUGGUCUAAGCGCGUGAAAAAAACGAAGCUCGUGCACGCAACCACGAAACGUUACGUAGAAGGCCCUAGGGAAAAUGGCGGACAAACUUGCGAAUUUCCUAAAAUCGAUCGAAGAUAAAACGAUUUGAAACCACGAGUUAAAACUGGUAAGCAUUCUAGCGUGCAUGAUCGAAGCUAACACUUACGGAUAUAGCGUUCAACUGGAUAAAUAUAACGAUCGCACUUACGCAAGUACUUAAUUAGACGCGCGUGGAAGAGAGAGACGGAGAGGAGAUAAAUAUAUAGAAGUUCUCUAUUCUGAACGCAACCCAUCGAUGGCGUGUCAUCGUUUUUACCAUAAAUACCAACAGAGCUUACGGGGCCUACCGACCGGUUUGACAGACGGGAACACGUCGGUUUCUCAACCAAAACAUCCCGCCAUUCAUCGAACCGACGAAGGUCGAUUACGACGUGUGUCUCCGAGUUUGACAACACCGAGUCUAUGGAACCCGUUGACAAAAUUACUCUUUCAUCCGAUCUCGAAUACUACGUGUUUCUAUCUGGAAAAUUAAUUUCAAUCAGGUGAUCGAUACCUCGAGAACGGUGGUUGAACCAUAACCAUAAUCAAGAUAGUCCUAACAUCUCGAACCAUAUCGAUAACUGGUCAUGUGAAGCGUUGACAGAAAUGUUGAGAAAAUAAAAGAAGUUGCAAAUGUGCACCGACAGUAACUGUUCUCGAUUGUUUUUAAGAAAAGAUGGCGUCGAUGGCCGUUAAGUAUCGGUUCCCAUGAAAUCGAUCGAUAUCGAGCGCGAGAGUCGAUCUCGAGUAUCGAUGGAAGAAAGGAGAAAAAACUGUGGAACGACUCUCGUAAAUCAAUACCGGAUUAUUUUUCUUCGGCUCGAAAUUCCAAGAGAAUCUAUCUCGAAUUCGUACGCAACCGGACGAUUGCAGACUGAACAAGGGAAGAAACAAUGCCGCGUGAGAUCUUUCAGACGGGUCGUAAAUGAUUUCUGACGUUUAAAAAGACGUUUUGCAACGGCUGUGCACGAGGCCAGUACUAAAAAUAAACAGCAAUAGUUCCACGAAACGAGCGUCUUUCGAAAAGAUUUUUCGCGAUCAGAUUGUGUAACCGAAUCUUCGAUUCUCAACUCCUCGUUAUUUUCGCAGCUCGAACGAAUUUUUCUGACUGGUAAUACGACACGUGACGAUCUCGGCGAUAUAAGAAUGUGUAUUGUUGAGCGGAGGAUAAAAAAAAAACUAUC